UCUUUGAAACUUGCAUAACUUUGAGUCUGCAUUUAUUUUAGUUAUCCAAUCAAUUGAAACAGGUGCCAGUGUCAUUAGAUUGAGAAUUCGUUGAUAUGGUUGGUGCUUGAUCCACUUUGUCAUCGAUGUUCAGGAAUCGUAUCACAUUCAAAUCAUUCGAUCAAGAAGCAUAUAUUUUAUGAACUCUUAAUUUUACAGCGUCAAACUUCACAUGAUAAGCAGUGCAAAUUGAUUGCACUGGAGGGAGGUCGCCCUGGCAAUAGGAUCUUCCUGGCAAAAUCUGUAUCAGAAAAGUUAUUGUUUCUUUUAGUACUGGUUGCUGCAACAGUUAAAGCAUUUUGAAACCAGGUUUGAGUUUUCUCAAAGUACAUUGGCAAGAAGAAAUUACUCAAGACUUAACCGUACCUUACUUGAUGGAGCAAAUGCUGCAGUCCUGCCCUUGUGCUACUGUCAAUUCCUGGCACGAUUGGAUCGCUGAAGACGAUGAGUUCUGCUGCCGGAGCUUAAGAAUGAUGUACAGAGCUGCGUUGCCUCUUAUGGUGCAAAUCUAUCCCCUAGCCGGCACACAAGAAUUGGUACCUACCUUUGUCAUUUCGAGCAAAGCAAGGAAUCUCAGGUUACUUCCGUGCACACAAGGAGGAAGAUCUCCUUAGAUCCCUUUCGUCUGCGUUAUUGCUUUGAUGCAUUGUUUUCUCGCACAUUUGAUAUGUAUUGGCUGCUAGCUGGUUGUCUUUCAGUAGGGAAUGGAUUUGAUAGGAACACCUUCGAAAUAGCAGAAUAGUGAGAACUUCGAUCUUUUUUCUUUUAUUGUUCUUCGAAAAAGUAAGAGAGCUGCACACCUUUGCGCUUAGAAGACAAAAAGAGAAAACAGACACAACGAUCUACCGGUUAGCAACGCCAAAAGAACUCUGUAGAAAGACAGAACAAAAGCUGCUUCAAUCUUGAAUCUUGAACGAGGUUUUGCAGCGGAUUCUCCUGAAAAGUAUGUGAGCAAGUCGAGUAAUUGUUUCAUUCAGGAUCGGGGUACAUCUGAGCGUUGACUCCAAGCGAGAGGGAAAAGAAGAGCAGGCAUGUCCGCAUGUGUAGGCUGCUUGUCAGAGGCUCAAGCUCGCUGCUGUGCCUGCUGUCGACGGCCGAAGUGGAGAUCAGCGGUGAUUCGUAGCGUGCUUGUCUCUGGUGGUUAGGCUCCAGCAGGGCAACUCCGACGCGGUGUCGCGCGGCGCACUCGGCCAAGUCGCAUAGGCGAGAAAACGGCGGCGCUCUGGCGGUUUGCGCGGGGUACUGGACGGACCCGUCCGGCAGCUUCGACUCCCUGGCACGCGUGGCACA